rnacentral:tRNA from 2 species
GCCACUAUAGCUCAGUUGGUAGAGCAGCGGUUUUGUAAACCGCAGGUCGCCGGUUCGAGUCCGGCUGGUGGCU